CCUACGGGGGACAGCAGUGAGGAAUAUUGGUCAAUGGGCGAGAGCCUGAACCAGCCAAGUCGCGUGAAGGAUGACGGCCCUACGGGUUGUAAACUUCUUUUGUCAGGGAGCAAUUGGGUCCACGCGUGGGCUUAGCGAGAGUACCUGAAGAAAAAGCAUCGGCUAACUCCGUGCCAGCAGCCGCGGUAAUACGGAGGAUGCGAGCGUUAUCCGGCUUUAUUGGGUUUAAAGGGUGCGUAGGCGGAAUAUCAAGUCAGCGGUAAAAAUUCGGGGCUCAACCCCGUCGUGCCGUUGAAACUGAUGUUCUGGAGUGGGCGAGAAGUAUGCGGAAUGCGUGGUGUAGCGGUGAAAUGCAUAGAUAUCACGCAGAACUCCGAUUGCGAAGGCAGCAUACCGGCGCCCAACUGACGCUGAAGCACGAAAGCGUGGGUAUCGAACAGGAUUAGAUACCCCAGUAGUC
rnacentral:rRNA from 1 species